AGUGAACGCUGGCGGUAGGCCUAACACAUGCAAGUCGAACGGCAGCAGUAAGAGCUUGCUCUUACGGGUGGCGAGUGGCGGGCGGGUGAGGAAUACAUCGGAAUCUACUUUUUCGUGGGGGAUAACGUAGGGAAACUUACGCUAAUACCGCAUACGACCUACGGGUGAAAGCAGGGGAUCUUCGGACCUUGCGCGAUUGAAUGAGCCGAUGUCGGAUUAGCUAGUUGGCGGGGUAAAGGCCCACCAAGGCGACGAUCCGUAGCUGGUCUGAGAGGAUGAUCAGCCACACUGGAACUGAGACACGGUCCAGACUCCUACGGGAGGCAGCAGUGGGGAAUAUUGGACAAUGGGCGCAAGCCUGAUCCAGCCAUACCGCGUGGGUGAAGAAGGCCUUCGGGUUGUAAAGCCCUUUUGUUGGGAAAGAAAAGCAGCAGGUUAAUACCCCGCUGUUCUGACGGUACCCAAAGAAUAAGCACCGGCUAACUUCGUG
rnacentral:rRNA from 1 species